rnacentral:sRNA from 1 species
AAGAAGCGUGUGGAGGGCCCUGGCUCCCUGGGCCUGGAGGAAUCAGGGAGCAGGCGCAUGCAGAACUUUGCCUUCAGCGGAGGACUCUACGGGGGCCUGCCCCCCACACACAGUGAAGCAGGCUCCCAGCCGCAUGGCAUCCAUGGGACAGCACUCAUCGGUGGCUUGCCCAUGCCAUACCCAAACCUUGCCCCGGAUGUGGACUUGACUCCUGUUGUGCCGUCAGCAGUGAACAUGAACCCUGCACCAAACCCUGCGGUCUAUAACCCUGAAGCUGUAAAUGAACCCAAGAAGAAGAAAUAUGCAAAAGAGGCUUGGCCAGGCUGUGAAUUUGUCUGUCAGUCACUGAUUGCCACUGCCAUCUGGAAAUGUUUGCUAAAGGCACAGUCACUGGGCUUGGGAGGCAAUGCUCCAUCCCCAUUAUAUUACAAAUAAAGAUGCCCUAAAUGAGUGUGGAAA